AUGGAGCCUUCCCGUGCGUUUGGAUUUUCAGCCGUUGGAUUGCGCUUCCAAAUUGAUCCUGGCCGUUGGAUCGCGAGAUGGGGAGAUCCUGACCGUUGGAUCGCGAGAUGGGAGGUCCUGGCCGUUGGAUCAAUAGCAAACACUGCUUGCGCUCCGGCUCGUGCCACCGCCUGUAAUUCCCAGGCCCCACCGAGGGCAUUAUCGUCUUUUCUGACGCAGACAUAUAAAAGGCAGAAUGUUGAACUCUCCCUCCUUUCCCCACUUCUCUGUCGCCUCUACUCCCGUGGCCUUGGGCCAGCCGCCGCGCAACCUCUGCUCCUCCCCGGCGUCGAACUCAGGCCGCCGCUCCGUCCCCCGUCCCCUCCGCCCUCUAGUCCUCCCGCAGCCUCCGCCUCCGCCGCCGCUCCACGGAUGGGAGUUAAUCGGGGGAGCAGGAAGUCCCCGUCCCCGCGUAUGGGCCCCCGCCACCCACCACAAUGGCUCGACCGCCCAGCGACGAGCUGCCCUCCGGGGCCUGACCAGUUCGGCUCUCGUGGCUGGUGGACGCGCCCUUGCUGUUGCCGACGCGCGACGCCGGCUCGCUGUGCCGCACUGGCCCUCCCAAGCGUCUUCUGUCAAUGGACAUGCUCCUCCAUCUCCUCCGCUGGACGACAUCCAAUAUCGCUAGGGUUUAUUGCCACCUAUAAUCCUUCCAGCAUUAGGGACUGCUUAAUUGGUUCUGGACAAUACAACAAAAGAAAUGUGCAUAUUGUCCACAUCUGCAGGACCUUCACACUAAAGUCUCCUCAUGUUCUCAAGAUUAUUCAAGCAGUUGUUAAUUCAUCAAAGGCGGCUCCUGAGUAUACAUACCGUGUUUAUCUCGCCUGCCUUCUUAGGAAAAAUCCUAUACUCAAGAUGCAGUCUGACAGUAACUUCAUUUGCUCAGAUGCUCACGGUAUUGCAGAGAAUGGCUCAUUUUUCAGCCCAACUGUGACACAUAUCAUACCAGGCCAAAGUAUCAUUCGAAGGGGCGACAUACCCAAUUCUCGGAUUCCUCAAACAACAGAUGUAGUGUUAUAUCCGAGACAUGAACGAGGAAAAAAUGAGAAGGUCGUCCACUAUUGGCUCAAGCUCAGGAGGUGGUCGAAAGCCCGGCUCCACAUGGUUCUAGCACUACCGUCACACAUGGUGUUCGGGCCACUUCCACCAGUGCUCUGCGGGUUGUCGUUCCACAAGAGCAAUGACGGGGAGAACAAGAUGAUGAACGUCGCCGUUUUCCUUUUUUCUCAUCCGAAGAAAAGUACAAAUCUGGGUGUGGAUUGCUGCCUUGCAUUUCCAGCAGGCAAAGGUUCAGUUGGCUACAGGUUUUUUGGGUAUUCAGAUUUAUAUCAUUUGAUAGAUGCAAUAAGAGGCACUGCCUUCCGUGGUGACAAGCUUAAGCACUACAAGCACACAAUGGGGUAUUAUCUAAUGAGCUGUGGAGAUAGGAUCAAGCCCGGCCUAACGGGCGCUGCUCCUUCCUACCUCACCUCGUGUCCCAUUCAACUGAUCCCAAGUUGCAGGUAUGAAUAUCCAAGCAGGCUACUUAAUCUGUUUACUGAAGCAAGACAUGUUUAUAUAUGUCGAAGUUCUGUUGGAGAUUAUGGUGCAUAG
rnacentral:rRNA from 1 species